AAAACUCGGUUGAAACAAGAUUUAUCGUGAGAAGUCAGCAGAAACCAUAGUAGUUUCCUUACGGAAAUGAAGGGU
rfam:Sporosarcina newyorkensis 2681 genomic scaffold SCAFFOLD1, whole genome shotgun sequence.